CUGGGCUCUAGGGCGUUGGUGGCAGCGCUGAGGGGUCCCCACUGCCCCGUCAUGGCGUCUGCUCUCACUGUCCUCCUCCUCGGCUGCUGGCUGGCCGGGCACAGCGGGGUGUGGGGAGGAAUCGCUCCCGGCGGUCCUCCCCCUGGGAACCGGCACCGCCGUGGCCAGCCAGGGCCCUCAGCUUCUCCAAGGGGGGAUCCUCCUGCAGCUCCGUCUGGAAUUC